AGGGUGGGUUUAGGCUGGGGGUAGUGUUAGGCUUAGGAUGGCCUUAGGCUUGUAGGGGGUUAGAUGUUAAGGUAGUGUUUUCCCAAGGGCGGGUUUAGGCUGGGGUAGAGUUAGGCUAAGAUAGGUAGGAUAGGCCUCCCUCUUCUGCAUCUACUCCACAUGGGGUUGUAUUUUGCUCCCUUUCUGCUUCCAACUUGAAAAUAAAGAGAAAGGUUGAGCAGA